AUGCGGCAACUUGUACAGGGGGGAUAGACGUCAGUUAAUAUCAAUGGCGAGAUAGGGGCGUUCUUCAGAAAUAAGAGGGGUGUCAGACAAAUGGAUCCUAUAUCCCCACUCCUCUUUAACAUAUUAGCUGACACUCUUGCAGCUAUACUUGAUUGUGCCAAGGUGGCGGGUCAUAUAUCUGGGGUGGCCCAGGGCAUUAUUCCAGGAGGAAUAUCGCAUCUCCAAUAUGAAAAUGACACUCUUGUCUUUAUAAAAAAAUCCGAGAGGGAAAUUACGAACCUUAAAUUUCUCUUAAUGUGCUUUGAGGAGAUGUCCGGCCUAAAAAUCAAUUUCGCAAAGAGUGAGGCGAUUGUCACGAGAGAUGACCUUGAAUCCUAG
rnacentral:rRNA from 1 species